rnacentral:misc_RNA from 1 species
GCGGGGUUAGAAGCGUUGGUAGCGCCUCGAGAAUCCCACCAAUCGAGCGCCACUGUCGUAGCUUUUUUAUCCUGCUAUUUGCGCCGAAGGACGGAGAAGAGCAGAGGUUCCCCCAUCUGGCUCUCUCACUCCUUUUGUAUCCCUCUCCUUUUCCUUUGCUGAACCGCUCUCCCUAUGUGUUCGUCGGCACGGAGAGGACACUCUCGUUUCGGGAUCCGUUGAGGUUGCACACGUUUUCACGAACAGUGCCGCCGGUUUUACUGCGACGCGCUCUAUUCUACGUUGAUCGUACUCGAUACCAAGGACACAUCGAUCGACUCGUUUUGUUUGUGAUAACAAGUGAUAAACGUAACGACGGCAUAGUCGAUUCUCGAGUUGAUCGGGUAAUACGCCAGUGACAUUUGGUGCGGUGCUAUCGACGAAAUAGAGUUGGCAACGUUGCAUCGACUGGUCUCUCACACAAAUAUACGCAUACACGUACCUAGAAGGGAACUUGGGGUGGCUGGCUAGCAGGCAGGCGGCAGGCAGGCAAGCAGGCAGGCAGCUUUCUUGUUCCGAGGACGGCGCUCCUGGUCGCGCCGUCUCUCUUUUCUACCUCCAUUGCGCUUGCUCUUCUCUCCCUCUUCUCCCCACCCUUCUCGUCCUCGGUCACUCAAUCACACUCUCCUUCUUUUGCUUUCUCUAUCUUUCUCUCUCCGUUGUAUGCGCGGCGCACGUACCGUUGAGAGUUUCUCCCUUCCCCUUCUGAUACUCUUUCUCUACCGUUACCCCCUCCCCUCCUAACCUCGAGCGGGUCGGGCGAGUCCACUAAGCUUGCGAGGGGAGUUCGGCAGACCUCGGCUCUAGUCGGCCUCGAUCCGCAGAAUGUGCUAGACGCUGUGAGUCGAUCGCUCCAGUUUUUACAUAUUCGUAUAUAGACAGACUCAACGCCGUUCACGAGGCUUUAAAACGUCCUACUGCACUUCGUACACGUAUCCACGAGUUUCCAGUGCCUAUAUCGACGUUAGUUUUCACCAUCAGUUUCGGACGCACUCGAUCAGCGUAUAUCCGUACGACGGCCAUGUUUGGUGUUUACGAGGUGAGGGGGAAUUGCUGACGUCACGAACCCCGAUCUUGCACGAAGGGAGUAGCAGCACCAGCAGAAGCAGAAAACGUGUGUUGCCGGCCAACACCAGGCACCACUAUAAGUCUCGAUACCAAUUCGGAGACGAGACACACAAGUCGAGCGUACUCGUAUUCCUCGACAAAUAUCGUACGCAGAUUUAUCCGUAAGGUGAACACACGUAGAAGAAACUCGCGG